CAAAAGGUCUUCAGUACUCUUCUGAUUCACUUACAGAUGACCACCAUGAAUAAUACUUACCCAUCUCUGCUGACUAUUGAUGAACAGAUUUCCCCCUGCACACACACUCCUAUACCCAGCUCCUUUCCAUGGCAGAUUUGAAAACUGGGGGAUUCAAGCCUUGCUUGUCUUAUGAUUGACUUAUUUCCAUUGAAAGAUAGACACCCAUAGGUAUGCCUUCUGUUAAGGAGAAUCCCAUGUGUUGGUGUGCCUACUAUUUUCUGCAAGAACAUGUAAGUUAUGAGACACCCAAUUGAAAUUUUAUCUUCCGGAGCAACAUUUAGGGGUCUCUUCAAACUGAGAGGAGAUAACAAGUUAGCAUCAUCCAACACACUGUCUAGCAGAUAGAUGACGUCAAAGACAAGAGUGGAGAAGACGAAGCUAAGCAGGGACACUGCAUCAUGGAGAAAAAUCUGACUUAUCACAACUUCGAGUGGCAAAUUGCCAGACCCUACUGUCCAGAUAAGAGUUUUUGACCUCGGAUAGAGCAACACCCUCUCUCUCAAAGCUCCCACUUGACAACUGGGAGAGGCUCAGAAAUAAUCAGGGAAGGCCAGUUGCUGAUUAAGAUGGCCAUACAUGCUCCAGUGGAUGCCGCCGACGGCACAGGCAGAAUCAUGGUCACAACAAUGACGAUGAGCAGAGAAUCCUGGCUCAAAGCAUUGGGCAACCCUAGAGAGGUUCAGGUCACAAUCCAGGACUUGUAUGGAACUAUUUAAUAAGUGAAUGGAUAGUGCUUUGCACUCUUUCAGAGACUCAAAGGCCAUCCUGCACUCCUUGGGUUUUACAUCCCAUCCCUGUACCAUAAGCUGUAUCACCCUCAACCCCCAUCAAGACAACAGGUGCCAACCUGUCAUUCUAGGCAACAUGAGUACCGUGCCUUCCUCCUACUUGGCAAUGCAUCGUGCUUCUACAGAAUUGCAGCAAAUUUGACAGGAUGGUUGGGAGCCACAUCACAUCUAGUCUAGAGAGUGUGAACUUCAGCAGCCACCUUACCCCAUGCGUGUGGUCUGCUGUAAGCUUGGACAGAUGGAUGUUAGAGAUCAUUGCCCAUGGCUACCCCAUUCAGUUCUACUUUUUAACCCGUAUCCAUCUCCUUCUCCUAUCAGGGACCCUUUAAAAGCAGAGGUGACCUUGUUGCUUUGCUUUGUAAGCUAUGGAGGAGGUACACCAGAAUUUAGGGGAAGAGGCCUGUACUCCUGGAGCUUCUUAAUCCUGAAGAAGAAAAAGGGGGUCUUUGUCCUAUCCUAGAGCUGAGAAGGCUCAGCAAGUACUUACGCUAUCUUAGGUUCAUGGUGGUAAUGCUUGCCUCCCUUCUUUCCGUGUCUUCGAGCUCAAGAUUUGGUUUGUGUUUCUCAAUUUGCGCAGCACAGAUUUUGACAGACAGUGCAUCAACAGUGUAUUUUAUAUAAACAAGAUAGGAAUGCUCAGUCAUAACCCCUCUACCAGGAGGUCAUCAGGCUGUGGACCUGGUGUCACUGGAUAACCCCUCUGGAUCUACAGUUUUCUGGAACUGGUUACAGUCUGGUGGAUUUCUCAAGCAGGCAUGCAGUAACCAACUAUGAAUGGUCAGUGCAGACAUCUAUCAUAUUGCACCAGUGGGGAACGCCCACAAUAGAUCUGUUCAUCGCAGAGGGCAGCACCAAAUGCCCAAACUUCCACUCCAGGGAGGGUAUUAGCUUAGAUUCCUUUCCGGGCACCUUCCUGCUACAGUGGUCUGCAGAUCUUCCCUCCUCUCCACCCCAGUGUUCCUGAUCCUGAGGGUGAUCUCAAAAAUCAGCCUAGACAAAGCCAUCUUGAUCCUAAUAGCUCCCUACUGGCAGAGGAAAUUUUGGAUGUCUGACUUCCUCUGCAUCACACGGAUGGCUGAGUCAUCCUGUAAUUGACCAACGUACCCAAGUCUCUCUCCUCCUCCAUUGUGUCUUACUUAUGACCCCGCAGCUUCUAGCAGAAAUUCUUACUAGACCCUGAGUGCAUGACCUUGUACUUUGUAUUAUUGAAUUUCAUCCCAUUACUGUCACUCCAGCCUUCUGGGUAAAUUAGAUUUUCUUGUAUAAUGUUCCAAUUCUCCUCUGUAUUGACGCUGCCUUCCAGGUUUGUAUCAAUAAACUUCAUUAGCAUGCUCCUACUUUCUGUGCCAAGAUAAUUAAUAAAAAUAUUAAAUAAGGUUGGUCCCAAGAGUAACCCCACUAGUGACCUCCUUCCAGUCUGAGAGAUCACCUUUCAGCACAUCUCAUUGCCUUCUUCCCUUUAGCCAGUUCCUUAUCCACCUUAUAAUUCUUGUACUGAUCUCCCCCAAUUCAGCUAAUAAUUUCCAAUGAGCUACCAGGUCAAAUGCUUUACUGAAGUCCAUGUAUAUUAGCACUACUACACUUCCCUUAUCUAGAAAAAGUUAUUUUCUUAAAGAAGGAAAUAAGGGUAGCCUGGCAUGAUCUAUCUUUGGUAAAUCCAUGUUGCAUUACAUCAUCUUUUCUGUUUACUUCCAUGAAUUUAAUUAUUCUUUCUAUCACAAUUUGUUUUAAGUGUGUGUAUACUACUGAGCUCAGAUUAACCAAUUUGUAAUUGCCUGGAUCUGUUUUUUUCCUUUCUUAAGUAUAGAUAUGACAUUAGCUAUCCUUCAGGCAUGUGGUGCCACCAUCAAGUAGAUAGAGGUAUUAAAAAUCCUUGCUACUGGACUAGCAAUCUCAUGUGCCAGAUAUCUCAGAACCACUAUCAAAUAUUGCACCCAGCCCUGCAGUUGUUGCACCUAGCAGCUUGGAUGUAGGCUGGUUGAGCUCUAUUGACAGAGACUGUUUUUGACAGGUUCAAGAAAACCUCAUAGAAAGCCUGGAAACCGUCUACCAGAAAGAUCUACCCCUCCAAAUGAAAAUGGUUCUGCUUUGGGGAAUCCAGCAUAAAUUAAUUCCAGUUAAUACCAGAAAUCGUUGACUACAUGCCACACUUUAAAUAGGCUGGAUUGACUCUUAGUUCUCGCAAAAUCCACCUUGCAGCAAUAUCAACAUGUCACACUUUGAUGCAGUCAUACUUGGUCUUCAGUCAUCCAACAAUAUCUAAAUUCUUCAAGGACCUCCUGCAUACGUACCCAUGUGUUAGAGACCUGACUCCUGCAUGAGAUCUUAACACCAUCCUCCUGAAACUCAUGGAAUCUCCAUUCAAGCUAUUGUGAGAUAGCUGCAUUAUCACCUUGCCUUUAAAACAUGCUUUCUGGGAGCUAUUACCUCAGCAUGGAGGGUCAGCGAGCUCUAAACUCUUAUGUCUGGAUCUCCUUGUAUCUCAUUUCAUAGGGACAGAGGGGUUCUGAGACUGCACCCUAAACUCAUCCCUAAGGUAAUCUUACAGUUUCACUUCAAUCAACCUGCCAGUCUUCUUCCUGAUAUUACCCUCUAUGGGAGAGAAGAAGCUACUUACUUUGGAUGUUUCCAGAGCCUUGCUUUAUUACCUUUCAGACAGCCUCCCUGCCUUUGUGGUUGUAUCAGACUUGUUGAAAAGCCAAGCCAUCUCAUCUAACUGAAUCAUUCACUGUAUCUCUACCUGCUAUCAAUUAGCUGGUGAACCUCUAUUUCCAAACAUCAAGGCAUACUCCACCAAGACACUGGCAGCAUCUUCUGUCUUUUUCAGAAAUGUGUCAAUAUCUGAGAUCUGUAAAGUAACAACAUAGAGCAACCCACUGACUGUAAUUAAAGAGUCUAGAGUGGCCCCCUUACCAUCAGCUGUGACUCUGCAUUGGGAAGCUUUGCACAGAUCAGAGGACCCUUCCCAGAUGGCAAGGACUUGGCCGCAGGGCCAGGACUAAACCUUUGUAAUCUUGUCCAUCUGCCACUCAUCUGAGGCUCUCAUCAAAUGCCUUUUCUGCAUUUAAAACAUCCUUCUCCUUCUCACUUAAUCCUCCGUUUCCCUCACUGGCUCCAUCCUCCCUUCCUGAUUUACCCCUCAUCUCUCUAUAGUUCAGCUAACUCUGCCUGCUACUUUUUCUUCCCCUCUCAAUCCCAAUCUCCCCCCACUUCCCACCAGCUGAAAUCCAGGUCCCUCAUCCUCCUCACCUCUGGUGACAUUUACCCUAAUUCUGGCCCUCCUUCCAUGCCCACUCUCUCCACAUCCUACACACAUUUCUGUCAUCACCUCUGCCCCUUUUAUGUCACCAUUCCUAACUUCACACCCAUCCCUUUUUUCCCCCUGUUCCUUCUUCCCUUUUCUUGCUGUUUUUGGAACAACCACUUCAUCUUUAUUAAGAUCCCAAUGUAUUCACAUCUCACUCCUUCUAGCUCACAGCUCUUACAGAGACCUGGAUCCCUUUAGCUGAAGCUGCCUCUGAAGCUGCAUUUUCUUAUGGGCCUCUCGUCUCAUGCUCUCCGCAUUGUAUCAGACUGGGGUGAGGGUGUUGGGCUGUUUCCCUUUCUGUCUCCUUGUUUGAAUAGCUCUGCAUCUGACUGUCCUCUCUCUUCCCCUUCCAAGUUGUUGACAACUACCAUUCACCUAACUCUUUCCCAGCAGUCUUUCUCUCUUUUUGACUUUUGGCUCUCUCCACAAUCUCCCACAUAUCUCCUCAUAUUCAGCUUCUACGUUCAUGACGCAUCCGACAGCUUAGCUGCAUGUUUCCUCGCCCUCAACUCUUCAUUUGAUCUGCACCUCUUGCCAGUUUUCCCACUCAUUAAAGGGCCAUUGACUACGCUGCUCUCCUUGCGUCACUGUUCUCCACUUUUAACUUUUUAACUCUCAUUACAAGAUCAGCCAUGACUCAUCCCCAUCAUCCACUUCAUCAGUUUUUUCUUGCCUUGCCUUCCUUUCCCCCCUACAACUCUUCUCCUUCUCCACUGUCACAGAUGCAGAAGUUUCUCAUCUGCUGUCUUUCUCUAACCCCUCCACUUGCCCCAGAGACUCCAUGCCACCUCCUGAUCUCCCUUGCACUCACUCUCAUCCUCUCACUUGUUAUUCACAUCCUCCACUCUUUUCUGGCCCUUUCCCCUCACAAUACAAGUAUGCUUUAGUCUGUUCCAUCCAAACAACAAGCAGCAAAACAAAC